UCAACUUUGGGCGUGGAUCCAGCGCAGCCCAUGGCGGCCGCCGAUGAUCAGGCGAUCGGACGAGCGAGCGAAUCCUCGAGGCGGAGCCGGAUCUCGCCGCGGGAGCAAGCGGAGGCUCCUCCCCUGGGACUGGGAAAGGAGAGCACGGUGGAUUGCAGCGGAAGCGAGACGCCGAGGAUCAGCGGCAGAGCGACGAGACUCCAGGCGACAAGUCAGGGAGAAAAACAAAGAAAAAAAGAGGAGAGCCGAGCAGAGAGAGAGAGGUGUCCCGCCACGUGGCCUCCCCCAACAGCCCACGUGGCCGUUUGGCCCGCGUCCACUCGCCCGCCGCCAGGUGGGCAGCGCCAGCGCCCGACACCCCCUCGAGCCAGACCCACCCGCGCCCACGGCCGCUGCCACCCGGGCCCACCUCCCGGGCACAGAGCACGCCGCACCUCCCCCCUUCCCGUCCCUUCCAUCCAUCGCCACGCCUCGUGUCCCCUCCGCCAUUCCCCCGCCGCAUCUGGAGCGACCUCCCACCGAAUAAACCCCCAAAACCUAGCCGCCGUCGCCCCCGGCCGCCGCCGCCGUCGGCGCCGCCGCAGCCAUGAACGCCUUCCGGUUCCUGGGGGACAUGACCCACCUCUUCUCGGUCAUCGUCCUCCUCCUCAAGAUCUACGCCAACAAGUCAUGCUCAGGGGUGUCGAGGAAGACGCAGGAGCUGUACCUGGCGGUGUUCGUGGCGCGCUACCUCGACCUCUUCACCGACUACAUCUCGCUCUACAACUCCGUCAUGAAGAUCGUCUUCAUCACCACCUCCGCCGCCAUCGUCUGGUACAUGCGCCGCCACCCGCAGGUGCGCCGCACCUACGACCGGGACCAGGACACCUUCCGCCACCUCUUCCUCGUCGCCGCCGCCUUCGCGCUCGCCCUCAUCUUCAACGAGCGCUUCACCCUCCGCGAGAUAUGCUGGGCAUUUUCGAUUUACCUGGAGGCAGUGGCGAUUCUACCUCAGUUAGUCCUACUCCAGAGAAGCAGAAAUGUCGAUAACUUGACUGGACAAUAUGUUCUCUUUCUCGGGGCCUACCGUGCAUUCUACAUUCUAAACUGGAUUUACCGUUAUUUCACGGAGGGUCACCAAAGCAGAUGGAUCCCCUGGAUUGCUGGUUUGGUCCAAACUGGUCUAUACGCAGAUUUCUUCUACUACUAUUUCUUGAGUUGGAAGAACAACGUGAAGCUCGAGCUGCCUGCCUGAGCAUGCUUUGUCCAUGCGACAAAAAGCACACAUUGCAUUGCAUGGGCCAGAAGUGUUAUCGAAAUUGAGUUGAUGAUAUUGGCAUGAAGAGAGAGACUCGGUGGUUCUGUAGUGGAUUAUCUUGGCAAAAAGCUAUAUUACGUUUGAGAUGCUAACAGUACAAUAGUAGACUAGUUCCAUUUUGUACCUGGGAUGGAGGAUCAGCGAAUCCAAAUUCAUUUGGCCUGUUGUUUGCCCGCUCUGUUUCACCUGCUGUAAACAACCAAACGACGUGAUCUCCAGUGUUCUUGCCCUGCUUUGUGUGAACUGUUGUGACUUUGAACUA